UUGAACGCUGGCGGCAGGCCUAACACAUGCAAGUCGAACGGUAACAGGAAGCAGCUUGCUGCUUCGCUGACGAGUGGCGGACGGGUGAGUAAUGUCUGGGAAACUGCCUGAUGGAGGGGGAUAACUACUGGAAACGGUAGCUAAUACCGCAUAACGUCGCAAGACCAAAGAGGGGGACCUUCGGGCCUCUUGCCAUCGGAUGUGCCCAGAUGGGAUUAGCUAGUAGGUGGGGUAACGGCUCACCUAGGCGACGAUCCCUAGCUGGUCUGAGAGGAUGACCAGCCACACUGGAACUGAGACACGGUCCAGACUCCUACGGGAGGCAGCAGUGGGGAAUAUUGCACAAUGGGCGCAAGCCUGAUGCAGCCAUGCCGCGUGUAUGAAGAAGGCCUUCGGGUUGUAAAGUACUUUCAGCGGGGAGGAAGGGAGUAAAGUUAAUACCUUUACUCAUUGACGUUACCCGCAGAAGAAGCACCGGCUAACUCCGUGCCAGCAGCCGCGGUAAUACGGAGGGUGCAAGCGUUAAUCGGAAUUACUGGGCGUAAAGCGCACGCAGGCGGUUUGUUAAGUCAGAUGUGAAAUCCCCGGGCUCAACCUGGGAACUGCAUCUGAUACUGGCAAGCUUGAGUCUCGUAGAGGGGGGUAGAAUUCCAGGUGUAGCGGUGAAAUGCGUAGAGAUCUGGAGGAAUACCGGUGGCGAAGGCGGCCCCCUGGACGAAGACUGACGCUCAGGUGCGAAAGCGUGGGGAGCAAACAGGAUUAGAUACCCUGGUAGUCCACGCCGUAAACGAUGUCGACUUGGAGGUUGUGCCCUUGAGGCGUGGCUUCCGGAGCUAACGCGUUAAGUCGACCGCCUGGGGAGUACGGCCGCAAGGUUAAAACUCAAAUGAAUUGACGGGGGCCCGCACAAGCGGUGGAGCAUGUGGUUUAAUUCGAUGCAACGCGAAGAACCUUACCUGGUCUUGACAUCCACGGAAGUUUUCAGAGAUGAGAAUGUGCCUUCGGGAACCGUGAGACAGGUGCUGCAUGGCUGUCGUCAGCUCGUGUUGUGAAAUGUUGGGUUAAGUCCCGCAACGAGCGCAACCCUUAUGACUAGUUGCCAGCAUUUAGUUGGGCACUCUAGUAAGACUGCCGGUGACAAACCGGAGGAAGGUGGGGAUGACGUCAAAUCAUCAUGCCCCUUAUGACCUGGGCUACACACGUGCUACAAUGGCGCAUACAAAGAGAAGCGACCUCGCGAGAGCAAGCGGACCUCAUAAAGUGCGUCGUAGUCCGGAUUGGAGUCUGCAACUCGACUCCAUGAAGUCGGAAUCGCUAGUAAUCGUGGAUCAGAAUGCCACGGUGAAUACGUUCCCGGGCCUUGUACACACCGCCCGUCACACCAUGGGAGUGGGUUGCAAAAGAAGUAGGUAGCUUAACCUUCGGGAGGGCGCUUACCACUUUGUGAUUCAUGACUGGGGUG
rnacentral:rRNA from 1 species